rnacentral:rRNA from 1 species
AUGGGCUUUGUGUAUGGAGAGAUUGUGAAGGCAAAGAAAGAAAUCAAAGAGGCCUUUGGUAACGUUGAGGCGCGGUACAAAGAUGUGUUAGCUAUAGUUGAAAAGAAGAUGAAAGAUAGGCUUGAUGCCCCACUGCAGUUGAUUGCAUAUUUGUUGAAUCCACACUAUAGUUAUGUAGAUCACAACAUAUUUGAUUCUGUUGACAUCAAUACAGCCUUUUAUUCUUGUGUGGAGACAUUCUAUCAUGGUGAUGAAAACAUGCAAGACCAAGUUGUGAACUAUGAAAUAAGCAACACUACAAAAAAAGACACAUCCAUGACAUUUUGGGCCGAACAAUUUUUUUUCUGUCAUACAUAUGACACUUCUAUGACAAUAAUUAUGACAAAACCCAGUAUCAUCAUAGAUGUUGUGGGCUCCUACUUCUAUGACAAAAAAUCAUGA